rnacentral:rRNA from 1 species
AUUGAACGCUGGCGGCAGGCUUAACACAUGCAAGUCGAGCGAGCGGCGGACGGGUGAGUAAUGUCUGGGAAACUGCCUGAUGGAGGGGGAUAACUACUGGAAACGGUAGCUAAUACCGCAUACCAUCAGAUGUGCCCAGAUGGGAUUAGCUAGUAGGUGGGGUAAAGGCUCACCAAGGCAACGAUCCGUAGCUGGUUUGAGAGGACGACCAGCCACACUGGGACUGAGACACGGCCCAGACUCCUACGGGAGGCAGCAGUGGGGAAUUUUGGACAAUGGGGGAAACCCUGAUCCAGCCAUCCCGCGUGUAUGAAGAAGGCCUUCGGGUUGUAAAGUACUUUCAGCGGGGAGGCGUUACCCGCAGAAGAAGCACCGGCUAACUCCGUGCCAGCAGCCGCGGUAAUUC